rnacentral:rRNA from 1 species
AACGAACGCUGGCGGCAUGCCUAACACAUGCAAGUCGAACGAGAACUUCGGGUCUAGUGGCGCACGGGUGCGUAACGCGUGGGAACCUGCCCUUAGGUUCGGAAUAACUCCCCGAAAGGGGUGCUAAUACCGGAUAAUGUCUUCGGACCAAAGAUUUAUCGCCUUUGGAUGGGGCCGCGUUGGAUUAGCUAGUUGGUAGGGUAAAAGCCUAUCAAGGCGACGAUCCAUAGCUGGUCUGAGAGGAUGAUCAGCCACACUGGGACUGAGACACGGCCCAGACUCCUACGGGAGGCAGCAGUAGGGAAUAUUGGACGAUGGGCGAAAGCCUGAUCCAGCAAUGCCGCGUGAGUGAUGAAGGCCUUAGGGUUGUAAAGCUCUUUUACCCGGGAUGAUAAUGACAGUACCGGGAGAAUAAGCACCGGCUAACUCCGUG